AGCGAACGCUGGCGGCAGGCCUAACACAUGCAAGUCGAACGAACCUUUCGGGGUUAGUGGCGGACGGGUGAGUACCACGUGGGAACGUGCCUUUAGGUUCGGAAUAACUCAGGGAAACUUGUGCUAAUACCGAAUGUGCCCUUCGGGGGAAAGAUUAAUCGCCUUUAGAGCGGCCCGCGUCUGAUUAGCUAGUUGGUUGAGGUAAUGGCUCACCAAGGCGACGAUCAGUAGCUGGUCUGAGAGGAUGAUCAGCCACAUUGGGACUGAGACACGGCCCAAACUCCUACGGGAGGCAGCAGUAGGGAAUCUUGCGCAAUGGGCGAAAGCCUGACGCAGCCAUGCCGCGUGAAUGAUGAAGGUCUUAGGAUUGUAAAAUUCUUUCACCGGGGACGAUAAUGACGGUACCCGGAGAAGAAGCCCCGGCUAACUUCGUG
rnacentral:rRNA from 1 species